GGGCGUGUAACUCAGUGGUAGAGUGCUCGCUUCGCAUCUUCCGGUGCUGAAAUGCGAGAAGUCCAGGGUUCAACUCCCUGCUCGUCCA
rnacentral:tRNA from 1 species